rnacentral:rRNA from 1 species
UACAGAGGGUGCGAGCGUUAAUCGGAAUUACUGGGCGUAAAGCGUGCGUAGACGGUUAUCUAAGUCGCGUGUGAAAGCCCCCGGCUCAACUGGGGAGGGUCACGCGAUACUGACCGACUCGAAGGCAGGAGAGGGUAGUGGAAUUCCCGGUGUAGUGGUGGAAAUGCGUAGAUAUCGGGAGGAACACCAGUGGCGAAGGCGACUACCUGGCCUGUUCUUGACGCUGAGGCGCGAAAGCUAGGGGAGCAAACGGG